rnacentral:rRNA from 1 species
UACAGAGGUCUCAAGCGUUGUUCGGAUUCAUUGGGCGUAAAGGGUGCGUAGGUGGCGCCGUAAGUCGGGUGUGAAAUUUCGGAGCUUAACUCCGAAACUGCAUUCGAUACUGCGGUGCUUGAGGACUGGAGAGGAGACUGGAAUUCCCGGUGUAGCGGUGAAAUGCGUAGAGAUCGGGAGGAACACCAGAGGCGAAGGCGGCGACCUGGACAGGUACUGACACUCAACUACGAAAGCGUGGGGAGCAAACAGG